rnacentral:rRNA from 1 species
CACGUAGGGCGCGAGCGUUGUCCGGAAUUAUUGGGCGUAAAGAGCGUGUAGGCGGCUUUACAGGUCCGCUGUGAAAACUCGAGGCUCAACCUCGAGACGCCGAUGGAAGCCGUCUGGCUAGAGUCCGGAAGAGGAGAGUGGAAUUCCUGGUGUAGCGGUGAAAUGCGCAGAUAUCAGGAAGAACACCCGUGGCUAAGGCGGCUCUCUAGUACGGUACUGACGCUGAGACGCGAAAGCGUGGGGAGCGAACAGG